rnacentral:tRNA from 6 species
GCGGCAAUAGCUCAGCUGGAUAGAGCAACUGCCUUCUAAGCAGUAGGUCAGGGGUUCGAGUCCCUUUUGCCGCGCCA